AAAUAUCGUGAAUAUAUUGAGGGCUUUGAAAGUAUGGGAUGACCAAUUUCCAGGAUAUGCAAUUACUGUUUUAUUUGAAUUGUACAAGGAUAGAGCAACAAAUACCUAUGGAGUUGAGAUAUACCUGAGAAAUUCUACCGUUGUUCCACCAUUCAAACUUACAAUUCCUGGUUGUGAAAGCUUUUGUCCGCUAACAAAACUCAAAGAACUUACGACAGAUGUGAUUCCAGUGGACUGGGAUGAAGAAUGUAAGACAGAUGAUAAAGAUUUUGUUGUUCCAGAAUUAGGAGGUCCAUAAAUGAUAUUAUUUUACCUCUUAGAAAAUGAAUAUGUACUUGUUUGGCUUUUCUUUUUUUUAAGCGUAUCCGUUCUAUGAAAUCAGUACUGAAUUCAUUUCUUGUUAUUGAAUAGGUGAGAGAAAAUUUCUGUAACGGCCAAAAAUCUCUUAUGUCUGUAAUUUUUUAUUUCAAAUUUGGAAUGUAUACUAUGUAACAUGG